CAGUAGCCGCGGGAAUACAGAGGGUGCGAGCGUUAAUCGGAUUUACUGUGCGUAAAGCGUGCGUAGGCGGCUUCUUAAGUCGGAUGUGAAAUCCCUGAGCUUAACUUAGGAAUUGCAUUCGAUACUGGGAAGCUAGAGUAUGGGAGAGGAUGGUAGAAUUCCAGGUGUAGCGGUGAAAUGCGUAGAGAUCUGGAUGAAUACCGAUGGCGAAGGCAGCCAUCUGGCCUAAUACUGACGCUGAGGUACGAAAGCAUGGGGAGCAAACAGGAUUAGAGACCCCCGUAGUCCCUGUCUCUUAUAC
rnacentral:rRNA from 1 species